GUGGCGAAAGGGACUCUGCAGAUGUGAUUAAGUAAAAGAUCUUGAAGUGGGAAGAUUAUCCCGGAUUAUCCAGGACAAAGGAAAAGGAAACAAAGAGAAGAAAGAAACAAGCAUGAUAGAAGGUGAUGCUAGUAACAGCUAUGAUAAAAGAAGAAAGAAGAUAUUUGGAAAAGGAAAAAGAUAUGGCUGCCUCUGCUGCUGGAGUUAGAGGAAAGCAACUGUGCUCUGGUGUCUGAGUCCAGUGGAAUGUUCUGUUCAUCCCCAGAAUUCGACGUGAAGUGGGUUACGUAGAGAUAUGCCAGAGCCUCCUCCCUCCCCUGCCUCGUUGUGCCUGUUUAAG